rnacentral:rRNA from 1 species
AUACGUAGGGUGCGAGCGUUGUCCGGAAUUAUUGGGCGUAAAGGGCUCGUAGGCGGUUUGUCGCGUCGGGAGUGAAAACACCGGGCUUAACUCGGUGCUUGCUUUCGAUACGGGCAGACUAGAGGUAUGCAGGGGAGAACGGAAUUCCUGGUGUAGCGGUGAAAUGCGCAGAUAUCAGGAGGAACACCGGUGGCGAAGGCGGUUCUCUGGGCAUUACCUGACGCUGAGGAGCGAAAGUGUGGGGAGCGAACAGGAUUAGAUACCCUGGUAGUCCACACCGUAAACGUUGGGCGCUAGGUGUGGGGCCUAUUCCAUGGGUUCCGUGCCGCAGCUAACGCAUUAAGCGCCCCGCCUGGGGAGUACGGCCGCAAGGCUAAA